AAGUACCUGUGUUUACAUUUGAGAUUUAGCACUCACAAUUCUCUGCUAGUAAAGAGCCCAAGAUGAGGAACUCAUUGGAGGAGGAAGAAGAAAUGCAACUGAUUUCUUCAGUAUUGUUCUGUCUGCUCAGACAGGCAUCAGGUGGCAAAUCACGGUGGGUCAAGCUGACAUCUCUCUCCCUGAUGCAUCCACUAGUGCUCAGUUUGGUGAAGGACUUUAAAACACUUUGGUGAAGAAUCUGAUGAACUCCAAGCAAUAUGUGCCAUUCCAUCCUGAGAUGAAGAAAGGAGACAAACACUUUUGUUCAUCUCUUCCAAAUCAAGAAGUAGUCUUGUCUUCUCUUCAGAUAAGAGUCAGGCUAAAGCAGCUUUGCAUGAAGCUUUCAGCUUGGGCCACGCUGCAGCCUCCAGAUUCCUCCCUGCAAGGCUGCUGUCCAGCUCACGAACAGCUGGUGACUGAGAGCUACAGGCAACACGUUUUCCUCACAAAAUUCCAUAUUAAGUUUUCCAAAUUAUUUCUCCAGGUCAUCAAGAUAAUUUAAACUAAUUUCAAACCCUUCAAAUAUAUUCUGUGGGUCUUUUUCCUGUGUUAUUUGAUUAAUUAAAAAGUUUGCAAUAGAGAUCUCAAUCAUCAAAUUGAGUCUGAACAUCAA